CGCGUAGGCGGGAUGGCAGGUCGGUCGUGAAAUCCCUCGGCUCAACCGAGGAGCGUCGAUCGAAACUGCCGUUCUUGAGGGUUGCAGAGGAGACUGGAAUUCCCGGUGUAGCGGUGAAAUGUGUAGAGAUCGGGAGGAACACCGGUGGCGAAGGCGGGUCUCUGGGCAAUUCCUGACGCUGAGGCGCGAAAGCGUGGGGAGCAAACGGGAUUAGAUACCCCGGUAGUCCACGCUGUAAACGAUGACGACUAGGUGUGGGGGGGUUCAGUCCCUUCCGUGCCGCAGCUAACGCAUUAAGUCGUCCGCCUGGGGAGUACGGCCGCAAGGUUGAA
rnacentral:rRNA from 1 species